rnacentral:rRNA from 1 species
AUUGAACGCUGGCGGAAUGCUCUACACAUGCAAGUCGAACGGGAGUAGCAAUACUCUAGUGGCGAACGGGUGAGUAAUACAUCGGAACGUACCCUGACGUGGGGGAUAACACAUCGAAAGGUGUGCUAAUACCGCAUACGUCCUGAGGGAGAAAGCGGGGGAUCGCAAGACCUCGCGCGUUUGGAGCGGCCGAUGGCGGAUUAGCUAGUUGGUGGGGUAAAGGCCUACCAAGGCGACGACCCGUAGCUGGUCUGAGAGGACGACCAGCCACACUGGGACUGAGACACGGCCCAGACUCCUACGGGAGGCAGCAGUGGGGAAUUUUGGACAAUGGGGGAAACCCUGAUCCAGCCAUUCCGCGUGAGUGAAGAAGGCCUUCGGGUUGUAAAGCUCUUUCGGCAGGAACGAAACGGUGGGGGCUAAUAUCCCUUAUCAAUGACGGUACCUGAAGAAGAAGCACCGGCUAACUACGUGCCAGCAGCCGCGGUAA